rnacentral:rRNA from 1 species
UUUAUGGAGAGUUUGAUCCUGGCUCAGAGUGAAUGCUGGCGGCGUGCCUAACACAUGCAAGUUGAGCGGGGUUUUGCAGAGUAUCGCAAAAUCUAGCGGCAAACGGGUGAGUAACACG